UACGUAGGGUGCGAGCGUUGUCCGGAAUUACUGGGCGUAAAGAGUUCGUAGGCGGUUUGUCGCGUCGUUCGUGAAAACUUGGGGCUUAACUCCAAGCGUGCGGGCGAUACGGGCAGACUUGAGUACUACAGGGGAGACUGGAAUUCCUGGUGUAUCGGUGAAAUGCGCAGAUAUCAGGAGGAACACCGGUGGCGAAGGCGGGUCUCUGGGUAGUAACUGACGCUGAGGAACGAAAGCGUGGGUAGCGAACAGG
rnacentral:rRNA from 1 species